rnacentral:rRNA from 1 species
AUAAAUGCAAGUCGAGCGGUUCAGCAAUGGAUAGCGGCAGACGGGUGCGUAACGCGUAUGAAACUUGCCCUACACAGGAGGAUAGCCUUGGGAAACUGAGAGUAACCCUCCAUAGUAUUAUAAUGCCGCAUGGUAUAAUAAUUAAAACUUCGGUGGUGUAGGAUAGUCGUGCGUCCGAUUAGCUAGUUGGUGAGGUAAUGGCUCACCAAGGCGACGAUCGGUAGCUGGUCUGAGAGGAUGAUCAGCCACACGGGCACUGAGACACGGGCCCGACUCCUACGGGAGGCAGCAGUAAGGAAUAUUGGACAAUGGACGGAAGUCUGAUCCAGCCAUCCCGCGUGGAGGAAUAAGGCCCUAUGGGUUGUAAACUCCUUUAGCAGGGGAAUAAAAAGGUCAUUCAUGAUCAAUUGAAGGUACCCUGAGAAUAAGCACCGGCUAACUCCGUGCCAGCAGCCGCGGUAAUACGGAGGGUGCAAGCGUUAUCCGGAUUUACUGGGUUUAAAGGGUGCGUAGGCGGACUUUUAAGUCAAAUGUGAAAGCUUGCAGCUUAACUGUAAGAUUGCGUUUGAUACUGGAAGUCUUGAAUAUGGUAGAAGUUGGCGGAAUAAAUCAUGUAGCGGUGAAAUGCUUAGAUAUGAUUUAGAACACCGAUUGCGAAGGCAGCUAGCUAUGUCAUAAUUGACGCUGAGGCACGAAAGCGUGGGGAUCAAACAGGAUUAGAUACGCUGGUAGUCCACGCCCUAAACGAUGAAUACUCGUUGUUGGCGAUAUACAGUCAGCGACUAAGCGAAAGCGUUAAGUAUUCCACCUGGGGAGUACGUUCGCAAGAAUGAAACUCAAAGAAAUUGGCGGGGGUCCGCACAAGCGGUGGAUUAUGUGGUUUAAUUCGAUGAUACGCGAGGAACCUUACCAGGCUAGAAUGGGAGAGAAUAUAGUGAAAGCUUAUAGCUAGCAAUAGCUGCUUCCAAGUGCUGCAUGGUUGUCGUCAGCUCGUGCCGUGAGGUGUUGGGUUAAGUCCCGCAA